UGGGGAAUAUUGCACAAUGGGCGCAAGCCUGAUGCAGCAACGCCGCGUGAGGGACGACGGCCUUCGGGUUGUAAACCUCUUUUAGUAGGGAAGAAGCGAAAGUGACGGUACCUGCAGAAAAAGCACCGGCUAACUACGUGCCAGCAGCCGCGGUAAUACGUAGGGUGCGAGCGUUGUCCGGAAUUAUUGGGCGUAAAGAGCUCGUAGGCGGUCUGUCGCGUCUGCUGUGAAAACCCGAGGCUCAACCUCGGGCCUGCAGUGGGUACGGGCAGACUAGAGUGCGGUAGGGGAGAAUGGAAUUCCUGGUGUAGCGGUGGAAUGCGCAGAUAUCAGGAGGAACACCGAUGGCGAAGGCAGUUCUCUGGGCCGUAACUGACGCUGAGGAGCGAAGGCGUGGGGAGCGAACAGGAUUAGAUACCCUGGGUAGUCCACGCCGUAAACGUUGGGCGCUAGAUGUGGGGACCAUUCCACGGUUUCCGUGUCGCAGCUAACGCAUU
rnacentral:rRNA from 1 species